rnacentral:rRNA from 1 species
GAUCAUGGCUCAGGACGAACGCUGGCGGCGCGCCUAACACAUGCAAGUCGAACGGAGCUUGAAGAGCUUGCUUUUUAAGCUUAGUGGCGAACGGGUGAGUAACGCGUGAGUAACCUGCCCUGAAGUGGGGGACAACAGUUGGAAACGACUGCUAAUACCGCAUAAGCCCACGGCCCGGCAUCGGGCUGCGGGAAAAGGAUUUAUUCGCUUCAGGAUGGACUCGCGUCCAAUUAGCUAGUUGGUGAGGUAACCGG